UUCACAUAAAGUGAGGCCUAACGCAUCAAUAUCGGUUUCUCAGUUGUGACAAAUGUACAAUUGUAAGAUGUUAACAACAGGGGAAAAUGGGUAAGGAAUACACAGGGGUUCUCUGUAUUAUAAUAUCUUUGUAACUUUUCUGUAAAUCUAAAACUCUUCUGAAAUUAAAAAUUUACUUAAUCAAAAAAGAAACGAAAAGAAAAUAUCUGCUAGGCCGAUCAACCCCCAUUAAGCAUUUAUUAGUUGCAAACUAAACAGUUCUCUAGAAAAGGCAGCUCCUCUUUGGCACGUUCUCUCUGCUACUCAGGCAGGCAGCACGGCAGCAUCUUCAGCAUCUCACAGGGCAUCUGUGCCCAUUUGUUUCUUGGCCUCUUACCUGGUCAGGCCACGCAGAUCAUACAUUUGUGCAACACCAUCCUCUUUAACCUGUAUAUCAAAAUACUCAGCAUCAUUUCCUUGCCCUUUUCCUGGUCAGUAGAAACUGGUAGCCCUUGUCCUGAUUCCACCCAAUAAAAUAGUAUCUUAACAACUUUGCUCCUUUGGAUCUUUAAGUGGUGUGUUCUUAAUCCAGUACUGAUACCUGGGCCAUCAGAUUUGGCCCUGUCCUGCAGGGUUGUCGCUCAUUCUGUGUAAGCUGCCAGUCUGAAGCCUGGGAGACCUAGACCAUGAAUGGUUCCUGCGGAAAUCAAGCACCCACAGAGACUUCUCUGGCUCACACGGGCGGCGUUUUUGAUCUCUUAGUAUUUUUAAAAAGAAUUUAAGAACUGACAGUCUCUCCAAUACGGCAAAUAACUUCCUAUGGAAGAGGGAGAAGCCAGGUAGAUGAGGAAUCAAAACAACACACUUCAGUUCAGUAAUUUACAAAAGAGUGAGGCCAACUUUAGUUAGGGAGUAAGGUUUAUCUCCACAAAGUUCCAAUGACUCUGCCUUCUAAUAGAGUCAUUCUAAUAUUUCUCAAAUGCAUCCCCUCUUGUGUCAGUCAGGGUCCAACCAGGAAAUGAAAAAUCUCUUUAAAUAUUUUAAAGGAGAGAAUUUAUAGAGCAGAUUGUUGUACAGGUGAUGGAAAAGGUGAGAAGCCAAAUAGGAGACAAUGAGACAACUCAAUGUUAGUAACAGCAGGAAGCUACAAUCAACUCUGGGCUGGAGAAACAAAGGGAGGAAAUGGGGUUCCCAGAGCCCAGGGGUGGGAUCCUUGGGCAGAAGCCAGAACUGUGGCAUAUGUUCAGGGAGGCAGCUAGAGGCAAGAAGAGAAUACAAUGGCUGCUGGAGGUGUCACCUGAGGCCUAGACAGAGGAUGAAAUACAUUGAUAUUUUUUCUUCUUUCUUCCCAAUCCCCUUCCAGUAAAUACCACUGGCCAAAUCUAAUAAAAAACUACCUGACAUUGAAACCCAGUAAAGAUAGUCCAGAGAAAUCAGUCCCCCUUCCAGACAGCACAGAAACAUGGCAAUGGCUUCAUUUGAGGUCUCCACCAUCUCUUUCUUGCACCACUACAGAAUCUUUUUAACCUUUCUUUUUGAUUCAACAAUCUCAGUCUUCCUCCAACUCAUUCUCUUUACUUCAGCUAGAGUGAUUUUUGUUGAAACACAAAUAUAUAUGUCAAGUCCCUGCUUAAACCUUGAUAUGACCCCCUGCUAACUACAGGCUAAGUCCAAGUUUUUAGCAUGGUGAAAAAGCUCUUGUCUCUGGUCCCUGCCUUCCUCUCUGGCUCAUUUCCCACAACUCACUGCAUGAUUCAGCUUGAGUGUUUGCAAGACUUCAGGGGACACAGAGUGGUGUUGGCUACUUAAGUGAGUUCUCCUUGAAGAGGUCCUUCACAUCCCUUGUAAGUUGGAUUCCUAGAUAUUUUAUUCUCUUUGAAGCAAUUGUGAAUGGGAUUUCACUCAUGAUUUGGCUCUCUGUUUGUCUGUUGUUGGUGUAUAAGAAUGCUUGUGAUUUUUGUACAUUGAUUUUGUAUCCUGAGACUUUGCUGAAGUUGCUUAUCAGCUUAAGGAAUUGUAAAUUUUCUUUUCUCUGAUUAUAAAA
rnacentral:lncRNA from 1 species